rnacentral:rRNA from 1 species
UACAGAGGGUGCGAGCGUUAAUCGGAAUUACUGGGCGUAAAGCGUGCGUAGACGGUUAUUUAAGUCGGGUGUGAAAGCCCCGGGCUCAACCUGGGAAUUGCAUUCGAGACUGAAUAGCUAGGGUACGGUAGAGGGAAGUGGAAUUUCCGGUGUAGCGGUGAAAUGCGUAGAUAUCGGAAGGAACAUCAGUGGCGAAAGCGACCUCCUGGACCAGUACCGACGUGCAGGCACGAAAGCGUGGGGAGCAAACAGG